CGGUAGCACAAGGAGCUUGCUCCUGGGUGACGAGCGGCGGACGGGUGAGUAAUGUCUGGGAAACUGCCCGAUGGAGGGGGAUAACUACUGGAAACGGUAGCUAAUACCGCAUAACGUCUUCGGACCAAAGUGGGGGACCUUCGGGCCUCACACCAUCGGAUGUGCCCAGAUGGGAUUAGCUAGUAGGUGAGGUAAUGGCUCACCUAGGCGACGAUCCCUAGCUGGUCUGAGAGGAUGACCAGCCACACUGGAACUGAGACACGGUCCAGACUCCUACGGGAGGCAGCAGUGGGGAAUAUUGCACAAUGGGCGCAAGCCUGAUGCAGCCAUGCCGCGUGUGUGAAGAAGGCCUUCGGGUUGUAAAGCACUUUCAGCGAGGAGGAAGGGUUCGGUGUUAAUAGCACUGUUCAUUGACGUUACUCGCAGAAGAAGCACCGGCUAACUCCGUGCCAGCAGCCGCGGUAAUACGGAGGGUGCAAGCGUUAAUCGGAAUUACUGGGCGUAAAGCGCACGCAGGCGGUUUGUUAAGUCAGAUGUGAAAUCCCCGAGCUUAACUUGGGAACUGCAUUUGAAACUGGC
rnacentral:rRNA from 1 species